rnacentral:tRNA from 1 species
GCUACUCUAGUUUAUAAUAGAACAUUUGAUUUGCAUUUAAAAAGUGAGACUUUCUCGAGUGACA